rfam:Gossypium hirsutum cultivar TM-1 chromosome 21, whole genome shotgun sequence
UGAUAAUCUCUAGAAAGUUAUAAAUUUUUGGAGAUGACGAUGACAAAUGGAGGUGUUUAACUGCUCGGAAACUAAAAGGAAUGCUUUUGCUCUUUAGACUUGCUGAGGUUGUAUAUCCCCUUUGAAAUUGGUCUAGUAAGCCUAAGUACAUU